rnacentral:sRNA from 1 species
UCAUUGUUUCUGUGGCGAUUGCAGAGGCUGAUGCUAAUUGGAGAAGCCCCACUAAGCAGCGGCAGCUUCCUGCUUCGGAUCCUCUCUCCGCUGUUUGCAUUUAAAGAGCAAACUCGGCUUGUCUACCCACCCUCCCUCCCCCAUCCUCCCCAAAAUAGCCUUGUGAUUUCGGAAGUAUGGACUAAAAUCACACUCCUCCUCACCUUACCGCUUGGAUUCUGGUGGCUCCCAACUCGCCGUCAGACCCCACCUGCCCCGGUGGUGGGAAGCGCCUGGACAGACCAUGACCACAGCCAAGGAGCCAAGCGCUUCGGGGAAAUCCGUGCAGCAGCAGGAACAGGAGCUGGUAGGGAGUAACCCUCCGCAGAGGAAUUGGAAAGGAAUAGCGAUUGCACUGCUUGUCAUUCUGGUCAUCUGCUCCUUGAUCGUCACCUCGGUCAUACUUCUGACACCAGCGGAAGAUAAUAGUCUGUCUCAAAAGAAGAAGGUCACUGUGGAAGAUCUCUUCAGUGAAGACUUCAAAAUUCAUGACCCCGAGGCUAAGUGGAUAAGUGAUACAGAAUUCAUCUACAGAGAGCAGAAAGGAACAGUGAGACUGUGGAAUGUUGAAACAAAUACUUCUACUGUCUUAAUAGAAGGCAAAAAAAUUGAAUCAUUAAGAGCCGUCAGAUAUGAAAUAUCUCCAGAUAGAGAGUAUGCACUUUUUUCAUACAAUGUGGAACCCGGUCAGUGAGCACACGGCAGCUCUGCAGUCAGUCCUGCUGCACUUAGGUGGACUCUCACCAGAGGUCAAAGGCUAUCAGCUCACUCCUUUUGUCUGACCAAUGCCUUGGGUGGCUGCUGUCAUCCUGACUUGAGCUAAAUUGGAUGAUCUGCCUGGAGACUUAGAAGCUUAUUCCUCCCCCCACCAUUCCCGCUGCCUUUGCCUUGAUCUGGACUCUUCUCUCCUCUUGCCGGGA